rnacentral:rRNA from 1 species
GAUGAACGCUAGCGAUAGGCUUAACACAUGCAAGUCGAGGGGCAGCAUGGUCUUAGCUUGCUAAGGCUGAUGGCGACCGGCGCACGGGUGCGUAACGCGUAUGCAACUUGCCUCACAGAGGGGGAUAACCCGUCGAAAGACGGACUAAUACCGCGUACACUCUAUGUUGGGCAUCCAAUGUAGAGGAAAUGAACUUCGCUGUGAGAUAGGCAUGCGUCCCAUUAGCUAGUUGGUGAGGUAACGGCUCACCAAGGCGACGAUGGGUAGGGGAACUGAGAGGUUGACCCCCCACACUGGUACUGAGACACGGACCAGACUCCUACGGGAGGCAGCAGUGAGGAAUAUUGGUCAAUGGGCGAGAGCCUGAACCAGCCAAGUCGCGUGAAGGAUGACUGUCUUAUGGAUUGUAAACUUCUUUUAUACGGGAAUAACAAGAGUCACGUGUGGCUCCCUGCAUGUACCGUAUGAAUAAGCAUCGGCUAACUCCGUG